AAAUCCCACAUCGCUUAGGAACACUAUUGAGGUAUUCUAUAUUAAGAUCAAGGCGGAAGCAACAGCUUGUCCCUUCGGGGACAUCUGAUAAAAUUGGAACGAUACAGAGAAGAUUAGCAUGGCCCCUGCGCAAGGAUGACACGCACAAAUCGAGAAAUGGUCCAAAUUUUUUUUUUCUCCUUCCCCUCCUACGCUGGAUCUGUAGUCGGAGGAUUUCUAUUUCAUCUUCCCUAUUCGAAUCGGGGCGAUAUUGCUUUGGCGUUCCUCCUGAUCUUGGGAUUCCUUGCUUAAUUCCAUUUCUGAGCUCCUUGCUUAGAAUUUCAAUGGCCAAAAAUGUGGUUCCUCCUGAUCUUGGGAUUAUUCAAAAGAGGAAGACAAAGAAACCAGCAUUUCUGGUUACAGAGCUUGACACAAAGAUGAACUAAUAUCCAACUCAAAAAUCUUCCGUAUCUUUGAUCCAUUGAGCGAGAGCCCUUCCAUGCGGAACUCCCGGAUCACUAUGGGCAACGGAGAGCCCUUCCACACGGAACUCCCGGAUCACUAUGGGCAACGGAGAGCCCUUCCACACAGAACUCCUGGAUCACUAUGGGUGACUAGAGAUAAGCUUGAUGGUGCCAUCUUUGACUUGAAAUGAAACAUAUAUUCAUAUCGUCUUUCUUAAUCAAUUGAUUUGCAGUUUUCAGCUAAGGAUUAUACAUCUUAUGUUAGCCCUAAAGGAAUAUUGGCUUGAUUACUUGCAACCCUUCAUCGCCUCCUUCGAACGGUCGUGGGCUCGCUUUUGCUGUCUGAGACUGGAUGAUUUCUGGGUUGGUAAUACUCUUUCUUCUUCUUCAGAAACUAUUUCUUUACAUUGGAUAGAUCAAUGGCUACUGAACAUCUCGAAACGAAACCAAUUGGUUUGGUUGAACAUCGAUUUUCAAGUCGAUUGGUUCAGUUGGUCCAUCUUUAGAAAAACCAUUGCUGUUGUUGCUCUGUUAUCAGUUUAGAUCAAAAAUCUUGUUGUCUUGGUAGAUUCGUAUUGAUUGAUUACUGUUUUGGUUGAAUUACAUAUCUAAGCUGAAGAAUUAAAGAUUUCUUCAAAUGAUGUGAAAAGUUAAAGAUUUCUUGUCCUCGUACCAUAUCUAAGCUGAAUAACUAGAACCCAUUUUUGUAGAAGAGAGAAUAGAGUUGGGGGAAGUUCAUUCGUUAUGCUCA